UUGGAGGGCAAGUCUGGUGCCAGCAGCCGCGGUAAUUCCAGCUCCAAUAGCGUAUAUUAAAGUUGUUGCAGUUAAAAAGCUCGUAGUUGAAUUUCGGGAUCAAUAUAUCGGUCAUGCUUAGGUAUGUACUGGUAUUAUUGGUUUCUCCCUUCUGAAGAACCUUGAUGUCAUUAAUUUGGUGUCUUGGGGAAUCAGGACUGUUACUUUGAAAAAAUUAGAGUGUCUAAAGCAGGCAUACGCUUGAAUACAUUAGCAUGGAAUAAUGAAAUAGGACGUUUGAUUCUAUUUUGUUGGUUUCUAGGAUCGACGUAAUGAUUAAUAGGGAUAGUUGGGGGCAUUAGUAUUCAAUUGUCAGAGGUGAAAUUCUUGGAUUUAUUGAAGACUAACUACUGCGAAAGCAUUUGCCAAGGAUGUUUUCAUUAAUCGAGAACGAAAGUUAGGGGAUCGAAGACGAUCAGAUACCGUCGUAGUCCUAACCAUAAACUAUGCCGACUAGGGAUCGGAUGAUGUUAAUUUUUUAAUGACUCAUUCGGCGCCUUACGGGAAACCAAAGUGUUUGGGUUC
rnacentral:rRNA from 1 species